CCGACGCAGACGCUGGUGGGGAGCGUACGUCAUGACGUAAUGAGAAAGAACUCUUAUAUACAGGCGCGUGGGCGCCAUUUCUGUCUUUCCAGGCUGGGAGUUGUCGUUUUAUAGGAACAGUGCUGGUCAUGGAUACAAUGUGGCCUUUGAUGGGAUCUUCCAGCCAGUUACGUGCCAAAGGAUGAGAACAGUUGAUAAGGUGUUAAAGAGCCUCAAACUCCGGCCAUAGGCAAAGAGAGUCUCGACAAACAAGUGGAAGUCAAAAUGGAGGACCUGGGUCAUUAACUUGUCUGGACAAUCUUUAUUUUUUUGCUCUGGUACACGUUUUUAUCCGUGGAUGACCUGCUUGGGUGCAGAUUGUGGAAACCUUUAGAAGGCAUGUAGAGUCAGCUUUUUGUUGCAGUGGAUGGAACAAGGAGUUUUGAGCCAAAGGAUUUGGAAUUCACAUUUGGAGGAAUGCAGACAACUGGAUGGAUGGGAAUGCUCAUGGGAUAAGAGCAAGCAGCCUGUUCCAGUCAAUCCCACUCAACAUCAGUGGGUUUGGUUUUUGUUUUUGAGUAAUUUUAAUAAAUUCCUGUAAAACAUCUGGAAAAGUGCUUAUUUCAAUUAUAUCAGGUGGGGACAGGGAGGAAUAUUAUCUAAUAUUGAUUUAGGGUAUAGAAGGAAGAUGGUCUCUUACGUUAUAGAGGGAAAAUGGUCUCAGUAAGUGUCACUUCUUGAGUCUAAUAUCUACUUAGUUCUCUACUCAGCUGACAAAUCAUUAAGACCCUUUAGCAAUGGUUUCAUUGUUACUAAUUAAAAAGGUUUAUUAUAUAAGUACUUUGUACCGUGUCUGCUUGAAAAGUGCAUUUUAUCCAGAGAAAUGACUACCUGUAGCUUUUUUCAUUCUUGAGAUGCUGUACUUCAGUGCAGCCUUGAUUACAUGGCUAAUUGAAUAAGUAUACACAAAAAAUGGGUGCUGAUAUACUUAAAAUGGAAAAUCUAGUUUGAUAAUAGAUUGGGAGAGUGGGGAGAGCAUUACUGAUUUGGGCACUGGUUUGGGAUGUAGUGCCACAGGUAACUAGUUUGAUUUAGCCCCUUAAGGCUCCCAUUUACUAAAUGAGACCCCAUGAAGUUGAAGGAAAAUAACUUUAUUGACUAGCAGCCCCACCUCAGAACUGGCAGGUUGUUGUAUGAUACGUGAUCUGUUUAGCUAAUGGCAUGUCCUGUUAAGCACACACGAUUUCAAUGUAGUUCUCAAACUGGAUUCCAUAGUUAAAACUGGUGCAUGUUUAUCCUUCAUACACCAUUUCACAGCUUUUAAGAUAAUUUCUGAUCUUACAAAGGCUGUAGGUUUAGCCAUUUAAAAGGGUUCUAUCUACACUUGAAAAUUUUAUGCUUCCUCUUAGUCCAAGAAUCUGGUUUGGCAUGUUGUGCUGACUAGAUGUUAAAUUAUCUGUUCAUCCCAAGCAAUCUUCAAAACUGAACUUGUGCUGCAAACAUCUGAGGGAGUAUCUGGUUCAGGAGGCCUUUACUAUUGGUUAGGUUGGGUUCAGGGCAUCCUUGAAUGUAAUUAUCCUAUAUCAAUAUAACUUGUAUGCAUUUACCAAACUAGCAUCUCCUCCAGGGCGGGUACCACAGUUGAUCUUUGUACCCAAAGUUUCUCCAGGGAAACUUUGGUGGCAUAGUGGUUACGAGCUACAGCUGUUAACCAAAAGGUCAGUUCAAAUCCACCAGGCUCUCCUUGGAAACGCUGUGGGGCAGUUCUCUGUCCUAUAAGGUCGUUAUGUGUUGGAAUCGACUUGACAGCAACGGGUUUGGGUUUUUUUUUUUUCCCUCAGAUCUUUUGGUUCUUCAGUCUUGUGUUUUGGAGCUUUGAUACUGUCAAAGUCCAUAGGAUUUUCUUGGUUGUAAUCAUGGAAGCAGUUCGCCUGGCCUUUAUUCCAUAGUAGCAUGUAUUAGUCAAUCAUUUAAUAAUUAACCCAAUAAAUAUUGAGCACCCAUAUGUGCCAUUGUUAAUGUGCUGGGAUUAGAUACAGCUAGCAACGUACACAAAAUUUCUGCCCUCAUGGGACAAAAAAAGAAUAGCAUAUUAGAUAAGUGCUACAUAGAAAAAAGUGGGCUUACGCUCGGAAUGGAAGGAGCCCUGGUGGUGCAAUGGUUAAGCACUCAGCUGCUAACUAAAAUGCGGCGGUUGAACCCAUCAGCCGCCCCACGGGAGAAAGAUGCAGCAGUCUGCUUCUGUAAACAUAGUCUUGGAAACUAGGGCAAAUGUACUCUUACAGGGUCACUGAGUAAAUCUAUAGCAAUAGGUUUGGUUUGGUACACUUGAAUAUGGUUGUUGGAAAUCUGCACUGAGAAGAGGUCAUUUGAGUUUAUUAGGGAGUGAACAAUGCAGCAAUUGGAAAAAAUUGCCUCAGGAAACACGCCUGUUGAGAACCAGGAAAAGUAAGGACUCCUGUGAAUGGACCAGAGGGAGUGAAGCGAGUAGGAGGCGAUAAGUCUAGCAAGUGGCAGGGUCAUUUCUCUGAGACUCAUGAAACAAUGAGGGUUUUGAGCAGAGGGGUGACAUGAUCUGACCUGCGUUUUUAAAAGGACGAUAGACUGCUGAGCAGCAAGGAUGUAAGCAAGAAGAUCAUUAGGAAGCUAUUGCUGUAUUUACAGCAGGAGUUCUGAAACUGACAGUGGAGGCGUGAAAAGGUGUUGGGUGCUGAUGUAUUUAGAAGGGACAGCUAACACACACCAGCUUUAUUCUGCAAUAAGCUUUCCAGUUUCACAUUGUUGAUCUGAACAUAAAACUGUUAGGUGCCAUUGAGUUGGUUCCUACUCAUAGUGACCCUGUGUACAACAGAAUGAAACACUGCCUAGUCCUUUGCCAUCUUCACAAUCGUUGGCUAUGUUCAAACCCAUUGUUGCAGCCAUAAAACUAGUUGAGGGUUAUUACAUAUUUUCAAGGUGACUUUGUGCAUUGCAGUGAAUUACUUAAUAUGGCCCUUUUAGCCAUUCAUGGUUUUUAGUGAUUGGGUAGGACCAUGCAAACAAGGUGCUUGUGGCUCACCAAACGGUUGGACAGCUUACUAAUAAUACAAAUAAGGUGCAUGGAAUCCCUGUGAGGGUGGGACCACGCAAAUAAGGUG